rnacentral:rRNA from 1 species
UACGAAGGGGGCUAGCGUUGUUCGGAAUCACUGGGCGUAAAGGGCGCGUAGGCGGCUUUGUAAGUCGGGGGUGAAAGCCUGUGGCUCAACCACAGAAUUGCCUUCGAUACUGCAUGGCUUGAGACCGGAAGAGGUAAGUGGAACUGCGAGUGUAGAGGUGAAAUUCGUAGAUAUUCGCAAGAACACCAGUGGCGAAGGCGGCUCACUGGCCCGGUACUGACGCUGAGGCGCGAAAGCGUGGGUAGCAAACAGG